rnacentral:lncRNA from 1 species
CCCCAAGCAAAGUCCCCCUGAGAGGAAAAAAUCACACCACAUCUUUGUGGAUCAGUGGUGCCUCUGCCUCCACCCAAGACACCGGGCAUGUUUCCUCAUGAAUAGUGACUUGUGGCUCCUUCGCAGCACUGAGGGCUGGAGCCAGAAGAAGGAUGAACUCACUGCGGGGGUCUUCUCUCUUCAUGUUGGAAAACAGAUUUAGGCUCAAAAUGAAGGAGGGUUUUUGCACAGUCAGCACCACCCAUUGAUGAGUUCGUGGUCCCAGGAGGUAAUGAGUGCUCCAUCAUUGGGAGCAUUCAAGCUGAGGUUAGCCCACUAUUGGGAGGGAUAUUAUAGACAGGACUCAGGUAAGGGGACAGAGCAUUGACCUAGAUGAAAUUUGAGGUCCCCCUUCCAACCCUGAGAGCCUCUAAAUCUCUGACAUCUCCAUCCCAGCCCUUGCUGCCAAUUGGCCUCAUUCGCCUGGCCCUGCUGGUUUGCCAGGCAGUUUGUCCUCAGGGAGAAGUAGCUGCCAAUUAUGUGGGGACCACAAGAGUUUCCUUUAUGAUAUCACCACUCUGCAGGAAGGGGCUGAGGUGGGGUAAGAGAGGAGAAACAAGACAGAAGGUGGCACCAGAGAAGGAGUCAGCUCCCCAGGGCCUGGAAUCUGCAGUGUUGCCACCACUAGGGAAGAACAGCAAACCUGGGAGAAACUGACUCUAUAACCAGUGGAAGAAAGGCUGUGUAGCCAUCACCGGAUCUCUGGGGGAAGAGAGAAGACACAGAGACACAGACCUGCCCUGGAGGAAUCCAGAGCCCACCUGCCCAGAGAGGCUCCACCUGAUUUCCCUGGCUCUGGUUACCCCCUUAAAAGCCCUUUAUGCCAUCUUUCCUUUCAGUCGAGUGAUGCAGGAUUUGGGACCAGACAACCUUUGCUCAAAUCCUUCCACUGUUAUCUACCAGCUUGCUGGCCUUGGAGAAGUUAUUUCCCUGUUCUGGAUGUGCUUCCUCUUCUAUAAACUAGAGACACUACAAAUUCCCACCACAGAGGGGUAAAUGCAGCAUCCUGUACGUUAUGUGUUUGGCACAGGACCUGGGAUGCAGGAGGCACUCUGACCGGUGGCAUCCAGGAAGUAAGGAAUAUGGACUAAAGGGAGGGCCAAGGAAAAGUUUACAGGCUGUGGCUGUGCAGUUGGAAGAUGCAGAAGCGCCUCGCUUGGUGCUGCCAGGUUAGGUUUGCAGAAUGCAGUGAAUGCUCUUGCUGACAAAGGAUGGGGAUAAGUGAACUGGGGAAUCAUGACCUAGCGGAAGCCACUAGCUCAAAUACUGAUCGCUAUUUAAGUCACCAAAAUAUGCUGGGCACCCAGUGGGUGCCCAGCGCUUUCCCAUAAGUGAUCCCAAACCAGGAGCUAGUCCAAGCCUCCAAAGGUGGCUGGGUAGUUCAUUGGAAUGAGGGCUGCAGUGACUCCAGAGGGAGCAGGACUCCAGAGGAGCAGGAUUCAAGAGAAGGGGAGCCAGGGAAGACUGAGGGGAUGUGUAGGUGAGGUGGCUCUUUUCUGGCUGAGAGAAGAGAAGGUCUCCAGCCCACACCAAGGGCUCCAUAAUGGAAGGGAGGCCUAGGGUGGGUCCUCCCCUCUCCCCAUCUUCAUCCCACUCAGCCCCUACCUGGCCUUUAACACACUGGGUGGGAGAAGUGUUGCUGAGCACAGCAGUGACCUGAGGCCCUGGGCACCCAUCCCAGCUUAGCUCCACAGGGGACUCCAGUUGCUGAGGAAGAAUAUAGAACUUAUAUAGGAUGGGGGAGCUGGAAGGAAACUUAGGAUCAAUUGUUCCAGCCUCUAAUUGAAUGGUGGGGAAGCCCAGAGACAGAGAAAGGAAAUUACUACCCCUUCCAAGCCAGUGAGAGAGCCAGAUCUAGAAUCCAGGGCUCUUUCCAUGAUAUUGCACCUCCCAUCUCAGUCCUGUCUUUAUGAAAUGCCAUAUUGAAGCUUUAUGUAUUGGGGAAAUUUAACUGAGGCUCAAAGGGACACAAAUUCCCUAAAGCCACAUGGUGAGUCAGACAGCGAAAUGCAAGGUGUCUGGUCCUUUCCCAGCAUCCAACGAACGUUUCUUGGGCAGCUACUACAGUCAGGCUGGGAGCACUUUCAGACGUUCUCUCACUUAAAUCUCACAUGUGGGAGCAAGUUGGUGGAAGAGCGAAGGGCCAGAGGCCAGGGUCCAAAUCCUGGCUGUCUUAGCUGAGUCUCCUUGGACAAAUCCCUUGAUGUCCCUCAAAUGAUGCCUCCAUUUCUUCACUUUAUAAGAAGGGGAUUCAUAAUAGUACCUACCUUGUAGAGUAUUAUGAUAAUUAAAGGAGACUAUCCAUAUGAAAUACUUAGAACAGAGCCUAGUCAUAUAAAUAUACCAUUUAAAAAUAAGUAUACCGGCCGAGUGUGGUGCGUCACACAUGUAAUUCCAGCACUUUGGGAGGCCCAGGAGGGUGGAUCACCUGAUGUCAGGAGUUCGAGACCAGCCUGACCAACACGGAGAAACCCCGUCUCUACUAAAAAUACAAAAUUAGCUGGGUGUGGUGGUGCAUGCCUGUAACCCCAGCUACUUGGGAGGCUGAGGCAGGAGAAUCACUUGAACCCAGGAGGCGGAGGUUGCAGUGAGCUGAGAUUGCGCCAUUGCACUCCAGCCUGGGCAACAAGAGAGAAACUCCAUCUCAGAAAAAAAAAAAAAAAAGAAGUAUACCGUUUGACAAUCCUAGGCAUAUACCCAAGAGAAAUGAAAACACACAUCCUUACGAAAACCCUUCCACAAAUGUUGAUAGCGGCAUUAUUCAGAGUAGCUGAAAAGUGGAAUCAACCAAAUGUCCAUCAACCGAUGAAUGGAGAAAUAAAACGCAGUAUAUCCACACAAUGGAAUGUUAUUUGGCAAUAAAAAGAAAUAAAGUACCGAUACAUGAUUCAAUGUGGCUAAACCUUGAAAGCAUUAUGUGAGUGAAGGAAGCCAGGCACCAAAGACCAUGUAUUAUAUAAUUCCAUCUAAAUAAAAUAUCCAGAAGGUGCAAUUUCAUAGAGACAGAAAGUAGAUGAUUAGUUGGCUAAGGCUGGGAGGAAUGGAAGAACCGAGGGUGACUGUUAAUAUGUAUGGAGUUCCUUUUUAGGGGAGAAAAAAUGUUCUGAAAUUAGAUCGUGGUGAUGGUUGUGCAAUUCUGUGAAUAUAUUAAAAGCUAUUGAAUCGUGCCCUUAAAUGGGUGAAUUGUAUAGUAUGUGAAUUAUAG